rnacentral:tRNA from 1 species
GGCAAUGAAGUGGAGUGGAUAAGGGCCUGGCUUCUGGAACCAGGCAGCUUGGGUUUGAAUCCCAGCUUUGCCA